CAAUAGCGUAUAUUAAAGUUGUUGCGGUAAAAAAGCUCGUAGUUGGAUUUCUACCGAAGAUAGCCGGUCGGGUCUUCGACCUUGUAUCUGGUUUUGUCUUUGGUAUCCUCAUAGGGAACGUUUCUGCGCUUUAUUGCGUGGUGCGGUAUCUAUGACUUUUACUUUGAGGAAAUUAGAGUGUUCACGGCAGGCAAACGCCUUGAAUAUAUUAGCAUGGAAUAAUAACAUAGGAUCUUCGUCCUAUUUUGUUGGUUUCUAGGGCUAAGAUAAUGAUUAAUAGGGAUAAUUGGGGGCAUCUGUAUCAACGCGUCAGAGGUGGAAUUCUUGGAUUGCGUUGCGACAAACUACUGCGAAAGCAUUUGCCAAAGAUGUUUUCAUUGA
rnacentral:rRNA from 1 species